rnacentral:rRNA from 1 species
GUGAGGAAUAUUGCACAAUGGAGGAAACUCUGAUGCAGCAACGCCGCGUGGAGGAUGACGCAUUUCGGUGUGUAAACUCCUUUUAUUAGGGAAGAUAAUGACGGUACCUAAUGAAUAAGCACCGGCUAACUCCGUGCCAGCAGCCGCGGUAAUACGGAGGGUGCAAGCGUUACUCGGAAUCACUGGGCGUAAAGGGUGCGUAGGCUGGCUUUUAAGUCAGAUGUGAAAUCCAAUGGCUCAACCAUUGAACUGCAUUUGAAACUGAAAGCCUAGAGUUCAGAAGGGGCAGAUGGAAUUAGUGGUGUAGGGGUAAAAUCCGUAGAUAUCACUAGGAAUAUCAAAAGCGAAGGCGAUCUGCUGGGAUGAUACUGACGCUGAGGCACGAAAGCGUGGGGAGCAAACAGGAUUAGAUACCCGAGUAGUCC